rnacentral:tRNA from 1 species
GCAUCUUUAGUUUAAUGGUAGAAUGAAAGUUUUCGAAACUUUGUAUAGAAGUUCAAUUCUUCUAAGAUGCU